rnacentral:rRNA from 1 species
GACGAACGCUGGCGGCGUGCCUAAUACAUGCAAGUCGAGCGGACAGAUGAAAAGCUUGCUUCUGUGAUGUUAGCGGCGGACGGGUGAGUAACACGUGGGCAACCUACCUUGUAGACGGGGAUAACUCCGGGAAAUCGGAGCUAAUACCGGAUAAUACGAUGAGUCGCAUGACGUAACGUUGAAAGACGGCGCAGGUGGUAGCUAUAGGUGGAGCCCGCGCGGCAUUAGCUAGUUGGUAAGGUAACGGCUUACCAAGGCAACGAUGCAUAGCCGACCUGAGAGGGUGAUCGGCCACACUGGAACUGAGACACGGCCCAGACUCCUACGGGAGGCAGCAGUAGGGAAUCUUCCGCAAUGGGCGAAAGCCUGACGGAGCAACGCCGCGUGAGCGAUGAAGGUCUUCGGGUCGUAAAACUCUGUUGUUAGGGAAGAACAAAUAUCUCAGUAACUGUGCUCACCGUGACGGUACCUAACCAGAAAGCCACGGCUAACUACGUG